rnacentral:rRNA from 1 species
AUGGAUCAUCAAACCAAGUUUGCCGUGCAGAGGAUUGUUAUCUCGCUCCAUUCGGUGCGUGACAUCUUGGAGAAUAUCCUGGACAGAGCUUCCGAGGAGAAAGCAGAAAGGAUUUCUUGUUGACUCAGUCUCAAUCCCAAGGAUGGACUGAGGUUCCUGGAAUUGGAGGCUCAUAACAUUCCUGAUCUGGCCAAGGAGGUGGAGAUCAGGAUCUCAGAAUGCAGGGAGAAGAAAAGGAAGGAGAGAUGCAGGAUGGAGAGUAUGGUAUCAAGCUUAAAAAAGGAGAACCAGGAUAUCAGGAGUAUGUCGGAGGUUGCCAUAAGUGAGAAGGAUGCAGCGGAGAAUAGCCUUUGUGUGUUGAAGGGCGAUGCCGAUCAGAGAAGAAGUUCAAUCCUGCAGAUUGCUGAGAAGGGAUUGCAGAAGGUUGGCUUUGGCUCCAUCAUGGAGGUGAUAAGUGGAGAAUCAGAAGAUGACUUGAGCAGCUCCAGUGCCAGUGCAGCAUCUAAUGGAAGAGAAAGUAAACAGGAGGUUGACAAUCUCGCUUCAAUAGUUGGUAAGACACUGAAAAACAUGCACUAUGAGAUCAAUGACCUCAGGCAGGCCUUAGACGAGUCCAGGUCAAAUUGUGAUCGUUUGCAACUCCUCGCUGCUCAACAGACUCAGAAGAUAAUCAAACAUGAGUCACGGAUACAGGAUCUGAAAGAACAAGAAAUUUUACUACUUCAAAGUGUGGAAGAGUUCAAUGUCGGGGUAAAAGAAGUAGAGCAGGGAGCUGCACGGUGGAGAGAGGCAUGUGCGUUGGAGGUAGAAGCUGGAAAAGCUGCCAUUAAAGAACUAAACCAGGAGGUGACCUUGCUCAGAGAAGAACUGCGAAGAGUAAAAGCAGCCUUGGAUGCUGCAAACAGCAAGAUAAUGCUAAAAGAGAAACUAGCUGCCAGUGCAAUGGCAGAACAAGCUGCUGCAGAUGCAUGCCUUAAGCUUGCUGAUAGUAGAUAUGCUGGGUUACAACAGAGAAUAGAAGAGUUGACAAGGCAGAUAGAUCAAGAAGACACCCAUGCAAGAAAAGAUCGGGAGAGUGCUUGAAGAAGAAUAAGAUAUGCCUGCUGGCUAUGGCAGAGACUUUGAGUCAUAUCAGCAUCCUCUCAUGCUAGGACAUGGUUUGUUGAUCAGAAUGGAAGAUUGUCACCAGGGAAAGAAGCACUACUUCAAAUAAGGAUCUGA